rnacentral:lncRNA from 1 species
CAUCCAAAAAUUCAGCUUUUAUCUUUCUGUUACAUCCAACAAUAACACCUCAUAUGCGAGUAUACAUGUAAAUCAAUCAUUUCUUUUCAGGCCUCUGUCCUAGGGUGGAAUAUAAAGGAGUCAUAUAGCCAACCCAACUAAUUUGAGAUUACAAUGUGCUUUUUAUUUUGGGGGCGGGGGAGGGGUAGUACCUGCCAUUUAGCAGUGCCAAGGGUAGUCCUUAGGUCUCUGCAUAGCUCAUCCGAAUUCCAACGACCAGAAGUAUCCCUCAAUGAAUAAACAAAUUACCAUGUACCAGAAUAAAGAAGUGCCAAGGGUAGUCCUUAGGUCUCUGCAUAGCUCAUCCGAAUUCCAACGACCAGAAGUAUCCUUCAAGGCAUGAAUCCAUGUUCUAUAAGUUGAUUCCAUCCUUUAAAAGGAAAUCAAACAAAUAUUUCAAUGAACAUGGUAAAACCUCACAAAUGAAAAACCAAGAAAGGCUUUAAUCUUUGCACAGAAACAUUCACACAGAACAUUUUUAUAACUAAAAUCCAAUAAGAACUCCAAUAAACCUAACCUAAACCUACCAAAAUAACCAAUCAAUCAAUUAAACAUCACAUAUAUCCUUUCCACUCUAUUAGAGCUAAUCUCAUUUUUCCAAUACUAUUUAAAAAAUUGUCUUUCAAGGAGUUUUAGGGGUUUAAAAAACCUACAAAAGAAAUUAGAAAUAUUUCAGGAAAAGGGAAUUAAAAAGGAAAUAUUAAAUUACCUAUCAGCAGAUUCUUGAACCUCUUCUGCAGCAGAAAAGAAGGGAUCUUUCUCCCACCGAUCAAAAUACGACCCCAUAUCCUCCAAAAUCGAAUUUUUACAAAUAAUUGGCAAACAAAUGAGGGAAAACCCCAAAAUUGAAUUUAAUUGACAAUUACUACGGAAAAUCUUCUAAGAGAUUAUGAAUUCUAAGCAAAAUAAACCUACGAAUAUUGAACUAAUCCAAGUAUAUGUAGAUUUUCUUUUGCUUGGAUCAAAUUUCAAGUAGAACGAUGUUCUUGAAAAGUAGUAAUUGUGAUUUCACUUUUUA